CUCAACGAUUGGAUCGGAGAAGAUUAAGAAGCAUUACAAGGUGGUUUCCUAGUACAAGUACAAUGACAAUUGUUUUUCUGUAACGAGGCACGCAGUCCUCGCUUUACACGCCGGUAGGCGCAUGUAUUAUCUACGUGAACGGCUGAUAUACUUACGUAUGAAUCCGCCGACUUUGCUCUUUUACAACAAAGCACAUUAGCUCUUUGCUUUUUGAGUAUUAAAUGAAAUGUCUGAAAAAAAGAUUCUCAAUCAUAUUAAACCCCAAAUGCCCCUGUGCCUCAGUACAGCCUCACGACCUGAACAAGUGGUAUAAAACAAGGCUUUGAUACACAAACAUACGUUCAUUUAAAAAUAUACCCUUUCAUUUCUGCUGUAUGUUUUCUGAGGAUUUCAUAGGAUUUCAGCGUAACUUAAAGCGGUUGACGUUAGGAUAAUAGAGCAUUUCCUAUCGCUGGAAUAUGAUGUGAAAUAUGAACUGUCGUUUCUUUCUAUAAUGUAUAUCUGCUUCUAUACAGUCUCUCUGUAUGGAGUUAGCCUGACGGAUGGCAGGGAAAGGCUUGGGGUCGGAAAGAAGCCGGUUCAUAUGGAGACCAUCUGGAAGCCUGAGAAGAGAAGCACUCCCGCCGCUCUAAAGCUGACAUUAAUAAGCCCCGUUUGCUGCUGACGAGCCAUCGAGAGGCAGAAGUAGAAGCCUGGAAAGUCUGUACAGCUCCGAAAAUGUAAAAUCUAUAACUGUGCAAGUGGAAAUCAGCUGGACGAAAGCAAGUUAAGCUGGAUGGUUUGACCGUGGAAAAUACACUAAUUCAUUCUAGCUUGUGUUCAAAGAGUCUGUUCAUGUCUCCUGUUUCAGGUUAUUGGAGGAGUCCAUGCAGCCUGCAGAGCAGUCAAAACGCUGCAAGCCAUUUUGGCGCUUCCUUGAGCUGAACCCGGAAAGAGAGGCAAAGGACAACCAGGGCACGGUGGUGUCUACAAGGACAGGGAAGCUGGUCCAGAAGAAAGCAGCAACUGUCAAUCCACACCCAAUCUCCAGGACUAUGAGUGGGUCUGUAUGUGGUCGUCUGCAUAUUUCCACACAGGACAUUGGAAACAAGAACACCAGGAUGCAGUGUGCUAACUAAAAAUGUAGUUCCAAGACUUUGCCUUAGUUGUAGACUGUAGAGAAUUUGUCUUCUGUGUUCUGAUUGUAUUGUUUUUUAAGUAUUUUGAAUAUCUUUUGUUGUUGAAUAUGGAGUUAUUACAACAAAUGCAAACAAUUUCAUGUUUAUUUUUCAAAAAUGUGAUUAAUUUAAUAAAAGUAUAUUAUUGUUGAGUCUU